CCUAUGGGAGGCAGCAGUGGGGAAUUUUCCGCAAUGGGCGAAAGCCUGACGGAGCAAUACCGCGUGAGGGAGGAAGGCUCUUGGGUUGUAAACCUCUUUUCUUAGGGAAGAACAAAAUGACGGUACCUAAGGAAUAAGCAUCGGCUAACUCCGUGCCAGCAGCCGCGGUAAUACGGAGGAUGCAAGCGUUAUCCGGAAUGAUUGGGCGUAAAGCGUCCGCAGGUGGUUUUGUAAGUCUAUUGUUAAAGCGUCUGGCUCAACCAGAUAAUGGCGGUGGAAACUACAAGACUAGAGUACGUUCGGGGCAGAGGGAAUUCCUGGUGUAGCGGUGAAAUGCGUAGAGAUCAGGAAGAACACCGGUGGCGAAAGCGCUCUGCUAGGCCGUAACUGACACUGAGGGACGAAAGCUAGGGGAGCGAAUGGGAUUAGAUACCCCAGUAGUCCUAGCCGUAAACGAUGGAUACUAGGCGUGGCUUGUAUCGACCCGAGCCGUGCCGUAGCUAACGCGUUAAGUAUCCCGCCUGGGGAGUACGCACGCAAGUGUGAAACUUAAUGAAUUGACGG
rnacentral:rRNA from 1 species